GUUUUCGUGGCCUAGUGGUUAGGGCGUCUGUCUUACAAACUGGAUCUCGCCGUCUAUGAUGUGUGGGUUUUCCAAUGGAUCACAGAAGAUCCCCGGUUCAAUCCCGGGCGGAAACA